rnacentral:rRNA from 1 species
AGUGAACGCUGGCGGUAGGCCUAACACAUGCAAGUCGAACGGCAGCACAGUAGGAGCUUGCUCUUACGGGUGGCGAGUGGCGGACGGGUGAGGAAUACAUCGGAAUCUACUUUUUCGUGGGGGAUAACGUAGGGAAACUUACGCUAAUACCGCAUACGACCUACGGGUGAAAGCAUGGGAUCUUCGGACCUUGCGCGAUUGAAUGAGCCGAUGUCGGAUUAGCUAGUUGGCGGGGUAAAGGCCCACCAAGGCGACGAUCCGUAGCUGGUCUGAGAGGAUGAUCAGCCACACUGGAACUGAGACACGGUCCAGACUCCUACGGGAGGCAGCAGUGGGGAAUAUUGGACAAUGGGCGCAAGCCUGAUCCAGCCAUACCGCGUGGGUGAAGAAGGCCUUCGGGUUGUAAAGCCCUUUUGUUGGGAAAGAAAAGCAGCAGGUUAAUACCCCGCUGUUCUGACGGUACCCAAAGAAUAAGCACCGGCUAACUUCGUG